CCCGCCAGCCCGAUCAUUUUUGUGUUUAUGCAACUUUUGUAUUUUCACCGAUCAGAGUAGUUGCAUAGUCACAAAAGUGAUUGGGAGGGUUGGGCUCUAAC